AACGAACGCUGGCGGCAGGCUUAACACAUGCAAGUCGAGCGAGACCUUCGGGUCUAGCGGCGGACGGGUGAGUAACGCGUGGGAACGUGCCCUUCUCUACGGAAUCGCCCCGGGAAACUGGGAGUAAUACCGUAUACGCCCUUUGGGGGAAAGAUUUAUCGGAGAAGGAUCGGCCCGCGUUGGAUUAGGUAGUUGGUGGGGUAAUGGCCCACCAAGCCGACGAUCCAUAGCUGGUUUGAGAGGAUGAUCAGCCACACUGGGACUGAGACACGGCCCAGACUCCUACGGGAGGCAGCAGUGGGGAAAUCUUAGACAAUGGGGGCAACACUGAUCUAGCCAUGCCGCGUGAGGGAUGAAGGCCUUAGGGUUGUAAAGCUCUUUCAGCUGGGAAGAUAAUGACGGUACCAGCAGAAGAAGCCACGGCUAACUCCGUG
rnacentral:rRNA from 1 species